GUGGAAGAACGUUACCAAAAGAAAAAGGGCUUGAUAAUUAGUACUUAAGCAACGCAAUGAGGUACCAACCACUUCCCGGUGAACCUCCGCCUCCGCCUCCGCCAGAGUACGGGCAGCCGCCACCUCCACCUCCACCUCCACCCCCACCAGAGUACGCGCCACCGCCACCUCCACCAGAGUACGUGCCACCGCCGCCACCUCCACUGGAGUACGGGCGACCACCACCUCCCCCAGCGUAUGCGCCACCGCCGCCACCACCAGACUACCCUCCCCCUCGUCCUCCUCCUGGCCCUCCACCAC
rnacentral:lncRNA from 1 species